rnacentral:lncRNA from 1 species
UGUGAACGCUGACAUCAAUUGGUUCGAAAUUACAACUCUCGGGGCAUAAUUGAACAAUAUAAAUUAGGUUUUACUCUUUGUUCGAUAGAAUGAGAAAAAGAACUCGUCGCAAAGUUAUACUGCUAGGGGGCAACUGAGUAGUCUAAUAUUGUUCCGGUUUUGGUUCUUGUGAACGUUGACAUCGAUUCGUUCCAAAUUUACACUCUCGGGGCAUAAUAGAACAAUACAAUUAAGUUUUACUCUUUGUUCGAUCGAAUGAGAAAAAGUACUCGUUGCAAAUUUAUAAUAUUAGGGCGCAGCUGAGUAGUCUAAUGUUGUUCCGGUUUUGGUUCUUGUGAAGGUUGACAUCGAUUCGUUCCAAAUUUACACUCUUGGGGCAUAAUAGAACAAUAUAAUUAGCUUUUACACUUUGUUCGAUCGAAUGGGAAAAAAGUACUCGUUACAAAGUUAUACUGUUAGGGCGCAACUGAGUAGUCUAUUGUUGUUCCAGCUUUGGUUCUUAUGAAGGUUGACAUCGAUUCAUUCCAAAUUUACACUCUCGCGGCAUAAUAGAACAAUAUAAUUAGCUUUUACACUUUGUUCGAUUGAAUGAGAAAAAGUACUAGUUGCAAAGUUAUAUUGUUGGGGUACAACAGAGUAGUCUAUUGUUGUUCCGGUUUUGGUUCUAGUGAAAGUUGACAUCGAUUCGUUCCAAAUUUACACUCUCGGGGCAUAAUGAAUAAAAUAAUUAGCUUUUACACUUUGUUCGAUUGAAUGAGAAAAAGUACUAGUUGCAAAGUUAUACUGUUGGGGCGCAACAGAGUAGUCUACUGUUGUUCCGGUUUUGGUUCUUGUUAAGGUUGACAUCGAUUCAUUCCAAAUUUACACUCUCGGGGCAUAAUAGGACAAUAUAAUUAGGUUUUACUCUUUGUUCGAUAGAAUGAGAAAAAGUACUCAUUGCAAAGUUCUACUGUUAGGGCGCAACUGAAUAGCGUUAUGUUGUUACGGUUUUGGUUCUUGUGAACGUUGACAUCGAUUCGUUCGAAAUUACAACUCUCGCGGCAUAAUUGAACAAUAUAAUUAGGUUUUACACUUUGUUCAAUAGAAUGAGAAAAAGUACUCGUCGCAAAGUUAUACUGUUGGGGCGCAACUAAGUAGUCUAAUGUUGUUCCGGUUUUGGUUCUUGUGAACGUUGACAUCGAUUCGUUCCAAAUUUACACUCUCGGGGCAAAAUAGGACAAUAUAAUUAAGUUUUACGCUUUGUUCGAUCGAAUGAGAAAAUGUACGCGUUGCAAAUUUAUACUGUUAGGGCGCAGCUGGGUAGUCUAAUGUUGUUCCGGUUUCGGUUCAUGUGAAGGUUGACAUCGAUUCGUUCCAAAUGUACACUCUUGGGGCAUAAUAGAACAAUAUAAUUAGCUUUUACACUUUGUUCAAUCGAAUGGAAAAAAAUACUCGUUGCAAAGUUAUACUGUUAGGGCGCAGCUUAGUAGUCUAAUGUUGUUCCGGUUUUGGUUCUUGUGAAGGUUGACAUCGAUUCGUUCUAAAUUUACACUCGCGGGGCAUAAUAGAACAAUAUAAUUAGCUUUUACACUUUGUUCGGUCGAAUGGGAAAAAGUACUCGUUGCAAAGUUAUACUGUUAGGGCGGAACUGAGUAGACUAUUGUUGUUCCGGUUUUGGUUCUUGUGAAGGUUGACAUCGAUUCGUUCCAAAUUUACACUCUUGGGGCAUAAUAGAACAAUAUAAUUAGUUUUUACACUUUGUUCGAUUGAUUAAGAAAAAGUACUAGUUGCAAAGUUAUACUGUUGGGGCGCAACAGAGUAGUCUAUUGUUGUUCCGGUUUUGAUUCUUGCUAAGGUUGACAUCGAUUCGUUCCAAAUUUACACUCUCGGGGCAUAAUAGAACAAUAUAAUUUGGUUUUACUCUUUGUUCGAUAGAAUAAGAAAAAGUAGUCAUUGCAAUGUUAUACUGUUAGGGCGCCACUGAAUAGUCUAAUAUUGUUCCGGUUUUGGUUCUUGUGAACGUUGACAUCGAUUCGUUCGAAAUUACAACUCUCGGGGCAUAAUUGAACAAUAUAAUUAGGUUUUACUCUUUGUUCGAUAGAAUGAGAAAAAGUACUCGUCGCAAAGUUAUACUGCUAGGGCGCAACUGAGUAGUCUAAUGUUGUUCCGAUUUUGGUUCUUGUGAACGUUGACAUCGAUUCGUUCCAAAUUUACACUCUCGGGGCACAAUUGAACAAUAUAAUUAGGUUUUACUCUUUGUUCGAUAAAAAGAGAAAAAGUACUCGUUGCAAAGUUAUACUGUUAGGGCGCAACAGAGUAGUCUAAUGUUGUUCCGGUUUUCGUUCUUGUGAACGGUGACAUCGAUUCGUUCCAAAUUUACACUCUCGGGNCUGGGAACUUGUUGUACACAAUCUCGUCGUUGUGCCUUGGGCGGACAGGGGAGGUACUGUCCGUACGGCGGUCCGCCGCCGUGCCCGAACCGAACCAAAUUGGUAUCGGCCUCGGGGCGGGGGCGUGACAGAAAAAUUACUAGUUGCAAAGUUAUACUGUUGGGGCGCAACAGAGUAGUCUAUUGUUGUUCCGGUUUUGGUUAUUGUUAAGGUUGACAUCGAUUCGUUUCAAAUUUACACUCUCGAGGCAUAAUAGAACAAUAUAAUUAGGUUUUACUCUUUGUUCGAUAGAAUGAGAAAAAGUACUCAUUGCAAAGUUAUACUGUUAGGGCGCAACCGAAUAGUCUAAUGUUGUUCCGGUUUUGGUUCUUGUGAACGCUGACAUCAAUUGGUUCGAAAUUACAACUCUCGGGGCAUAAUUGAACAAUAUAAAUUAGGUUUUACUCUUUGUUCGAUAGAAUGAGAAAAAGAACUCGUCGCAAAGUUAUACUGCUAGGGGGCAACUGAGUAGUCUAAUAUUGUUCCGGUUUUGGUUCUUGUGAACGUUGACAUCGAUUCGUUCCAAAUUUACACUCUCGGGGCAUAAUAGAACAAUACAA